rnacentral:tRNA from 6 species
GCGGUUGUGGCGAAGCGGUAAACGCAUCGGAUUGUGGCUCCGACAUUGGAGGGUUCAACUCCCUUCAUCCGCCCCA